AUUGAACGCUGGCGGUAGGCCUAACACAUGCAAGUCGAGCGAGCGGCGGACGGGUGAGUAAUGUAUGGGGACUGCCCGAUAGAGGGGGAUAACUACUGGAAACGGUGGCUAAUACCGCAUACUAUCGGAUAACCCAUAUGGGAUUAGCUAGUAGGUGGGGUAAAGGCUCACCUAGGCGACGAUCUCUAGCUGGUCUGAGAGGAUGAUAAGCAACACUGGAACUGAGACACGGGCCAGACUCCUAGGGAGGCAGCAGGGGGGAAUAUUGCACAAUGGGCGCAAGCCGGAUGAAGCCAUGCCGGGUGUAUGAAGAAGGCCUUAGGGUUGGAAAGUACUUUCAGCGGGGAGGCGUUACCCGAAGAAGAAGCACCGGCUAACUACGUGCCAGCAGCCGCGGUAAUAC
rnacentral:rRNA from 1 species